GCACUCGCUUUGUAUGUACGUAUACUAAAAUUGGAACGAUACAGAAAAUAUUAGCAUGGUCGCUGCCCAAGGGUGACACGCAAAACCGUGACAGCAACUGCCGUGAC